rnacentral:lncRNA from 1 species
UUUCUUUUUGUACGCCGAACUUUUCAUUCGAUCCUCGAACUGUAGCCGCAUGAUCGCCGGAUUGAUGAAUGACUACGUUUGAAUUUGCCGCGGGUUGGAGGGCGGCGCCUGGGGGGCGUGGCUGGAAGCUAGGUCACCCCAAGGGCCGAUCUAGCGCCGGUUCACCCACAUGCCGCUCUUUUUCGGUGCGCUGGGGGGCUGAACCUCUGGAGAUGCUCUAAGAACUCCACCUUCCAUGCAACCAACUAAAGGUACUGCAGCUCACGAUGGUAGAAACACAUAUCAUAAUGUCUCGGUAAAUCGUGCUCCCCUACCACAACAGUGAUUCCGCUCUUUUCUUAUAUGAUUAACUGCUAACUUUCUGAGACAAUCACAUCAUCACAUAAAAUUUCACGAUCGAUGUGAUCAAUCUGAUCAAACAAAAAUAAAGUGUGAUGCGCAGAUUUCAGACAAAAAAUAGCACCGUUUCACAGAUGAUAGUUUUGGCACCAGUUACAACGACGUUUUGCACUUCCAUACCACAGAUGCACAGGUAUGGCUUACUCUAUUACCAACUGUAGCUCGCAAAACUAGGAUAAGUACUUAAAAGCUAACCUGCCACGCAAACAGCUUACAAAUACGGAAACAGAAUCAAGAGCAACACACAAUAAUCCGACCGACACUGAUUUGCAAGUCUGCAGCCAAGUUAACACUCACGACCCGACCAGGAUUUACAACAUGGAUGAUCUGGAUUCAUUAA